rnacentral:rRNA from 1 species
AGAGUUUGAUCCUGGCUCAGGACGAACGCUGGCGGCGUGCCUAAUACAUGCAAGUCGAACGAAACUUUCUUACACCGAAUGCUUGCAUUCACCGUAAGAAGUUGAGUGGCGGACGGGUGAGUAACACGUGGGUAACCUGCCUAAAAGAAGGGGAUAACACUUGGAAACAGGUGCUAAUACCGUAUAUCUCUAAGGAUCGCAUGAUCCUUAGAUGAAAGAUGGUUCUGCUAUCGCUUUUAGAUGGACCCGCGGCGUAUUAACUAGUUGGUGGGGUAACGGCCUACCAAGGUGAUGAUACGUAGCCGAACUGAGAGGUUGAUCGGCCACAUUGGGACUGAGACACGGCCCAAACUCCUACGGGAGGCAGCAGUAGGGAAUCUUCCACAAUGGACGCAAGUCUGAUGGAGCAACGCCGCGUGAGUGAAGAAGGUCUUCGGAUCGUAAAACUCUGUUGUUAGAGAAGAACACGAGUGAGAGUAACUGUUCAUUCGAUGACGGUAUCUAACCAGCAAGUCACGGCUAACUACGUGCCAGCAGCCGCGGUAAUACGUAGGUGGCAAGCGUUGUCCGGAUUUAUUGGGCGUAAAGGGAACGCAGGCGGUCUUUUAAGUCUGAUGUGAAAGCCUUCGGCUUAACCGGAGUAGUGCAUUGGAAACUGGAAGACUUGAGUGCAGAAGAGGAGAGUGGAACUCCAUGUGUAGCGGUGAAAUGCGUAGAUAUAUGGAAGAACACCAGUGGCGAAAGCGGCUCUCUGGUCUGUAACUGACGCUGAGGUUCGAAAGCGUGGGUAGCAAACAGGAUUAGAUACCCUGGUAGUCCACGCCGUAAACGAUGAAUGCUAGGUGUUGGAGGGUUUCCGCCCUUCAGUGCCGCAGCUAACGCAAUAAGCAUUCCGCCUGGGGAGUACGACCGCAAGGUUGAAACUCAAAGGAAUUGACGGGGGCCCGCACAAGCGGUGGAGCAUGUGGUUUAAUUCGAAGCAACGCGAAGAACCUUACCAGGUCUUGACAUCCUUUGACCACCUAAGAGAUUAGGCUUUCCCUUCGGGGACAAAGUGACAGGUGGUGCAUGGCUGUCGUCAGCUCGUGUCGUGAGAUGUUGGGUUAAGUCCCGCAACGAGCGCAACCCUUGUUACUAGUUGCCAGCAUUCAGUUGGGCACUCUAGUGAGACUGCCGGUGACAAACCGGAGGAAGGUGGGGACGACGUCAGAUCAUCAUGCCCCUUAUGACCUGGGCUACACACGUGCUACAAUGGACGGUACAACGAGUCGCGAGACCGCGAGGUUUAGCUAAUCUCUUAAAGCCGUUCUCAGUUCGGAUUGUAGGCUGCAACUCGCCUACAUGAAGUCGGAAUCGCUAGUAAUCGCGAAUCAGCAUGUCGCGGUGAAUACGUUCCCGGGCCUUGUACACACCGCCCGUCACACCAUGAGAGUUUGUAACACCCAAAGCCGGUGGGGUAACCGCAAGGAGCCAGCCGUCUAAGGUGGGACAGAUGAUUGGGGUGAAGUCGUAACAAGGUAGCCGUAGGAGAACCUGCGGCUG